UACGUAGGGGGCAAGCGUUGUCCCGGAAUCAUUGGGCGUAAAGAGCUCGUAGGCGGUCUGUCGCGUCUGCUGUGAAAACUCGGGGCUUAACCCCGGGCCUGCAGUGGGUACGGGCAGACUAGAGUGCGGUAGGGGAGACUGGAAUUCCUGGUGUAGCGGUGAAAUGCGCAGAUAUCAGGAGGAACACCGGUGGCGAAGGCGGGUCUCUGGGCCGUAACUGACGCUGAGGAGCGAAAGCAUGGGGAGCGAACAGG
rnacentral:rRNA from 1 species